CUGCUUCUACUUUCUAUAUGGAGCUGGGAGCAUCUGCCUGUUGGACGCCCGAAGAGCGUCAAGUUUAAUCCUUGGGAUGAAGAUGACGAAUUACGGCACCCCACUUGGGCUUACAAGUGGGAUGUGGUAUCCGAGAUGACGAAUGAUGUCAAUCUCAUGUACCAAAAGUACAUUGCCGAACACGAUUACGCCUGA
rnacentral:rRNA from 1 species